rnacentral:rRNA from 1 species
UACGUAAGAGGCUAGUGUUAUUCAUCUUAAUUAGGUUUAAAGGGUACUUAGACGGUAGAUAUUUCCCUUUAUACAGGAUAAUUUUACUAGAGUUUUAUGUAAGAAGGUAGUACUUGAGGUGUAGAGUUAAAAAUUCUGUGAUCCCUUGGGGACUGGUAAAGGCGAAGGCAACCUUUUAUGCAAAAACUGACGUUGAAGGACGAAGGCACAGAGCACAAACAGG